ACGAACGCUGGCGGCGUGCUUAACACAUGCAAGUCGAACGGAAAGGCCCUGCUUUUGUGGGGUGCUCGAGUGGCGAACGGGUGAGUAACACGUGAGUAACCUGCCCUUGACUUUGGGAUAACUUCAGGAAACUGGGGCUAAUACCGGAUAGGAGCUCCUGCUGCAUGGUGGGGGUUGGAAAGUUUCGGCGGUUGGGGAUGGACUCGCGGCUUAUCAGCUUGUUGGUGGGGCAGUGGCUUACCAAGGCUUUGACGGGUAGCCGGCCUGAGAGGGUGACCGGCCACAUUGGGACUGAGAUACGGCCCAGACUCCUACGGGAGGCAGCAGUGGGGAAUAUUGCACAAUGGGCGGAAGCCUGAUGCAGCAACGCCGCGUGCGGGAUGACGGCCUUCGGGUUGUAAACCGCUUCCGCCUGUGACGAAGCGUGAGUGACGGUAAUGGGUAAAGAAGCACCGGCUAACUACGUG
rnacentral:rRNA from 1 species